rnacentral:RNase_P_RNA from 1 species
UUGGCAGGUCUCCUUAUCGCUUUUUUAAAGAGGAAAGUCCGGACACCAAAGAGCUUUGUAGCGGGUAACACCCGUCGCUAUUUUUAGUAGGAAAAGUGCAACAGAAAGUAUGUACAGUUAGGCUGUAGUGGAAUCAUGUAAACUCUACAAGGUGAAACGCCAAGUAAAUCAACGUUUGAGGGUUGCUCGUCCGAUGUUGAAGGGUAGGCGGAUAGAGUUUAGUAGUAAUACUAAAUCAAGAUAGAUGAUAAGGCAUGACAGAAUCCGGCUUAUAGACCUGCCUUUAUA